GUUCGUAGGCGGUGCGGCAAGUUGGGAGUGAAAUCUCUGGGCUUAACCCAGAGGCUGCUUUCAAACUGCCGUGCUCGAGUGCGAGAGAGGUCAGUGGAAUUGCAGGUGUAGCGGUGAAAUGCGUAGAUAUCUGCAGGAACACCCGUGGCGAAGGCGGCUGACUGGAUCGCAACUGACGCUGAGGAACGAAAGCUAGGGGAGCAAACAGGAUUAGAUACCCUGGUAGUCCUGGCCCUAAACCAUCAGGACUUGGGGUGGCCCGCGUAGGCGGGUCGUCCCGUAGCUAACGCGUUAAGUCCUGCGCCUGGGGAGUACGGUCGCAAGACUGAAACUCAAAGGAAUUGACGGGGGCCCGCACAAGCGGUGGAACAUGUGGUUCAAUUCGACGCAACGCGAAGAACCUUACCUGGGCUUGAACCGCUACUGACCAACGGUAGAAAUAUCGUCUUCCCGCAAGGGACAGUAAUAGAGGUGCUGCAUGGCUGUCGUCAGCUCGUGCCGUGAGGUGUUGGGUUAAGUCCCGCAACGAGCGCAACCCUUAUUCGUAGUU
rnacentral:rRNA from 1 species